rnacentral:rRNA from 1 species
AUUGAACGCUGGCGGCAGGCCUAACACAUGCAAGUCGAACGAGUGGCGGACGGGUGCGUAAUGUCUGGGAAACUGCCUGAUGGAGGGGGAUAACUACUGGAAACGGUAGCUAAUACCGCAUACCAUCAGAUGUGCCCCGAUGUGAUUAGCUAGUUGGUAGGGUACCGGCUCACCAAGGCGACGAUCCCUAGCUGGUAUGAGAGGAUGACCAGCAACACUGGAACUGAGACACGGUCCAGACUCCUACGGGAGGCAGUAGUGGGGAAUAUGGCACAAUGGGCGCAAGCCUGAUGCAGAUAUGCCGCGUGUAUGAAGAAGGCCUUCGGGUUGUAAAGUACUUUCAGCGGGGAGGCGUUACCCGCAGAAGAAGCACCGGCUAACUCCGUGCCAGCAGCCGCGGUAAUAC